UUGGCUAAUAUUAAUCAUCAUAUUGCAAAGCGAUUCAAAGUCUAGUGUUUUACUUUUCUUGGUUUUAUAGGAAAACAAUCAUAGUUAUCAUGCUAAAUGUUACGUAAAACAUGCACUUGCAAGAAGUAAAAGAGUGCAACAAAACUCAUUUGUGGCCCCUCAUUCGUAGAAAGAAUGGACGCUAAUGAUACUAUAAAGUUGUCACCAUCAUAUAACGUGAUGUAGUACCAACUUGGAAUGAUUUUAGGAGAUCUUAUUAUUGCUGCAGUCACAACAAUUAUUUGCUUAUGCGUUUUGGCUUAAUAAUAAGGAUUGUUUGUAAAAUGGGACACAACAGUUGACCUGUACAUAUAUCUUGUUUGACUGAAAAUCUAGAAUAAACUUCAAACUUGGAAAGUCGUAAAAGCUACAUUUUGUUUUUUAUUUAUUUAUUCAGAUCUGUUAUCUUAUAUUUAUCCCAUUACCUAGACCUGAGCUUCCAUUACUUGUUACUCGGUGCCCUGAAUACUUUCUGAAAAGGUAGUCAAAAUCCUCUUAACUGACAUAUUCAUUUUCCAAAAAAUAUGAAUUAACUAACGAAAUUAAUAAUUCUGUACGACGUACAAAAAGUAGUGGUCAAAUGUUAAUUAAUACAUAUGCCACCUAAUGAAUGAUCCAAAAAAGGAAACUUGGGAGGCCAUACAUUGGAACCAUCAUCACCAUGUUCUUUGAAUUUUACACAUAUUACCUAAUAUUUCACAGCAAAAAAGGAGAAUCGCCUUACUAAGGAAAUUACCAUGUGAUUCCACAUUCAAUCGCUCUUGACUAAAUCCUUCACCAUCUGAAAUAGUAUAUAAAUAAAUAAGAAUCAAUGAGUUACUUAUUUGUCGGGUUUAUUUCUUUAACUCUUUAAUUAGAAGGAUGUCCUAACAUAGAGCAUCUACAAACAUAAACUAUAUAUCCUUGCAUAUGGAUUUUCUAUGAACUUAUUGAAUUGUAUCCACAACUUUGUACCAGACUGAAAUCAGAUGUGAGUAUCAUACAACAUUAUUCAAAGAAAAUAAUAAGUAAAGGGUACAUCUUCAAUGACGGAGUUCUGCUCAGCGCGUUCCAAGUAUAAAUAGUAAGGUAAGAGCACAUCUCCAAUCACAGAUUUAUGCACGUCUACAAUUGAUGUUCCUGCAACUUAUGCUUACGCAUACUACUAAUCAGCAGCUCAUCUUCACACGAGAUGUGAAAUCAUUACUUUGGGUCUCCUUUUUGCUGUGUGAAUAUCAAGUUCGGUUGCACCAAACUGUUGCAUUCAAAGGUAUUAGAUUACCUGAUGAUAUUCAAAUGGAUAUAAACUCUAGUUGCACUUGUAGAUGAUAGUGAGUUCUAUGUACGCACUUGAUAGUAACUUUCCUAUACAAUAAAUACACACAUAGCUAGCAAUACCUGUAGCGUAUUUAUAUAAAUAUGUACCUUCCUGGCAGUUGUUGAUAUUACGGUGACAACACGGCCCCAAUAAUCCUCAUUAGUUUGGCAGACCUUGCCGCAUUAAUUAUUUUCAUCCAUGUAUAUUCCAAGACUCGUAACUAUUAGCACUUGUACUCCUUUAGCUCUUUCAACAUACUCACUCAAUUCGAAUCACAAUAUCAUAUAUCUUUGAAAUCCCAUGCAUGAGUGUCUAUGUUUGUUCGGUAUGAGUGAUGUAAGUUCCUACGGCAACGACAACUGCGAAAGGAAAAGUGGUGUUAAUAUGAAGAAAAAAUUGGAAUUAAUAAUUUCAAAAUAAAUAUAGUUGUACCGGAAAGUAAAUAUUCUAGUCCUCUGUUGUGGAGGAACGUCAAUGCUAGAAAAUGUGAAGGUUGGUUCUACUAUUUCGAUCUUUUUGAGACCUUUAAUAUCUUGAUUUUUCAUUGUGGGCAAGAAAAUAAGUAUCUGGUCGCCUAACAACUGAACGGAGAAUCAGGGCAGCUAUAACCUUAAGAUCUGAAAUCAUUUUCGCUGAACCAUCUUGGAUAAAUUUCCUGAACUUGUUAACCAUACAUUCAAUUACGUAUAUAUGAAUGCAAUGUUUCUCGUAUAGACGAUAGUUCUAAUUAUAUGCUUGCCUGAUGGAUAUAGAUGUGCUCUGAAUCACCUGAUGGGUAUAGCUGGGCUAUGAAUCAAUUUGCAUAAUGUGUCAAAUUCUUUUACGGGGGAAGAUUCAGGGUUCAAUCCAAAUCCAAUAAAGAAAACGUAAAUCGGACAAAUUCGAGAACAACACGACCAAAUAAGUGAACAAACAUUAGCUGACUCCGAAUCCAGAAGAACAGAUAGGAUGGUCAACCGGCAAGAAAAAAAAUCGAAACAAAGUAUGUCAGAUACGAACCAGAUCUAGAUCGGAAAAGCAAAUGUCACGAAGUAUCCUCUUCACCAUGGAAUAUCCUUUGCCCAACUUGCUUGCAUUAGUUUGACAGAACAAUAGAUCUGGUUUCAACGGGGGAGAGAGAGAGAUUGGAGAGAAGAACGGGCUGGUUUCAACGGGGAUAUAGAGAUUGGAGAGAGGAAGGGAUAGCGGAAUACUUCCAUGGGGGAGAGAGAAUAACGGAGAGGAAGGCACACGGGAAUAUUUUUGUUUUGCAUGGGUGAGAAAAGGAAAGGUGGGACGGGAUAUUUUCACUUUGCUUGGAGAUAAAGAAUUUGGAAGGGCUACUCGAAUCUGAUCUCGUG
rnacentral:lncRNA from 1 species